UACAGAGGUCCCAAGCGUUGUUCGGAUUCACUGGGCGUAAAGGGUGCGCAGGUGGGUUGGCAAGUUCGAUGUGAAAGCCCCGGGCUUAACCCGGGAAUGGCAUUGGAUACUGCUGAUCUGGAGGAUCGGAGGGGGGACUGGAAUUCUUGGUGUAGCAGUGAAAUGCGUAGAUAUCAAGAGGAACACCGGUGGCGAAGGCGGCUUGCUGGGCCAGUUCUGACGCUGAGGAGCGAAAGCUAGGGGAGCAAACGGG
rnacentral:rRNA from 1 species